rnacentral:rRNA from 1 species
GAUGAACGCUGGCGGCGUGCCUAAUACAUGCAAGUCGAGCGAAUGGAUUAAGAGCUUGCUCUUAUGAAGUUAGCGGCGGACGGGUGAGUAACACGUGGGUAACCUGCCCAUAAGACUGGGAUAACUCCGGGAAACCGGGGCUAAUACCGGAUAACAUUUUGAACCGCAUGGUUCGAAAUUGAAAGGCGGCUUCGGCUGUCACUUAUGGAUGGACCCGCGUCGCAUUAGCGAGUUGGUGAGGUAACGGCUCACCAAGGCAACGAUGCGUAGCCGACCUGAGAGGGUGAUCGGCCAAACGGGGACUGAGACACGGCCCAGACUCCGACGGGAGGCAGCAGUAGGGAAUCUUCCGCAAUGGACGCAAGUCUGACGGAGCAACGCCGCGUGAGUGAAGAAGGGUUUCGGCUCGUAAAACUCUGUUGUUAAGGAAGAACGCCAGGUAGAGUAACUGCUACCUGUGUGACGGUACUUAACCAGAAAGCCACGGCUAACUACGUGCCAGCAGCCGCUGUAA